rnacentral:lncRNA from 1 species
AAAUUUUGUCUCAGAUGCCAUAGCCUAGCCGGGGUGAGGUACCCAGGACAUCUUGAAAUAGCCCUUAAAGAAGCAACAGAGGAUGCGUUGAUGGCUUAGACCACUUUUCUUAACUCACGUCUUUAGUCCAAAGUUUGCAGAGGGCCAGCUGAACCUGGAAAACGCGCGGGUUGAGGGGUGGUCCCUGUCGGUGAGCGCGCCCACAGGGAUCGUGGAGGGUUGGACAGCCAGGGUUCGUUUUAGUGAGAGGGUGGGAAAGAAGGAAACGAGGAAAAGGCAAGUGGCAACAGCUCAAGUCAAAAUCAAAGAAUCAAAUCCUGUGCUUCAAAUUAAAUACGUCCAUGGUACAGAGCGUCUGCUUGAGAGGCUUACAUGGACGUAAGGACCACCGAAACGGAGAAGUUACAGCUGAUGACCCAGCCCCCAGUUUGACCCUGUAGAAUGCUUGCCCUGUGAAGCAAAGUUGAAUUCCUUUAAAAGAUUUGAUGGAGAACACCUGCUUUUCUUGGUCAUCUGCUAGAGAAAAAUCUGUUUCCUCUUGCCGUUGGAUUUGCAGCUCAUCAGAAGGGGCUGUCAGAUUUCUCCUUCUUCCCCCAACCAAGAUGUGGGAGAGUGACGCGUCUGCACGAAGAAAAGGACAACGUGGAGACCUGGGAAAGUGGGACCAUAGCACGCACUAUGGAUCGACAGAGAUUUGAGCUGGAAAACUAUUGGCCUAUAGCAAGGAUGCUAAAAG